CAGUAGGAGCCUGCCUGGAUUAGACAAAUACAAGACAAAUAACAGGGGCAGCAAGGCAGAAAAGCUCCCAGUCUCUCAGGUCCACGGAGGCCAAAGUGUGGGGAGGCGCAGCAAAAUGAAGCAGCAAGAAUCAUUUGCAUGUGGAGGAUGCACCCAGGACUAGUGUAGAGUUUUAUUUGACAAG